rnacentral:rRNA from 1 species
AGAGUUUGAUUCUGGCUCAGAACGAACGCUGGCGGCGUGGAUAAGACAUGCAAGUCGAACGAGAGAAUUGCUAGCUUGCUAAUAAUUCUCUAGUGGCGCACGGGUGAGUAACACGUGAGUAACCUGCCCCCGAGAGCGGGAUAGCCCUGGGAAACUGGGAUUAAUACCGCAUAGUAUCGAAAGAUUAAAGCAGCAAUGCGCUUGGGGAUGGGCUCGCGGCCUAUUAGUUAGUUGGUGAGGUAACGGCUCACCAAGGCGAUGACGGGUAGCCGGUCUGAGAGGAUGUCCGGCCACACUGGAACUGAGACACGGUCCAGACACCUACGGGUGGCAGCAGUCGAGAAUCAUUCACAAUGGGGGAAACCCUGAUGGUGCGACGCCGCGUGGGGGAAUGAAGGUCUUCGGAUUGUAAACCCCUGUCAUGUGGGAGCAAAUUAAAAAGAUAGUACCACAAGAGGAAGAGACGGCUAACUCUGUGCCAGCAGCCGCGGUAAUACAGAGGUCUCAAGCGUUGUUCGGAAUCACUGGGCGUAAAGCGUGCGUAGGCUGUUUCGUAAGUCGUGUGUGAAAGGCGCGGGCUCAACCCGCGGACGGCACAUGAUACUGCGAGACUAGAGUAAUGGAGGGGGAACCGGAAUUCUCGGUGUAGCAGUGAAAUGCGUAGAUAUCGAGAGGAACACUCGUGGCGAAGGCGGGUUCCUGGACAUUAACUGACGCUGAGGCACGAAGGCCAGGGGAGCGAAAGGGAUUAGAUACCCCUGUAGUCCUGGCAGUAAACGGUGCACGCUUGGUGUGCGGGGAAUCGACCCCCUGCGUGCCGGAGCUAACGCGUUAAGCGUGCCGCCUGGGGAGUACGGUCGCAAGAUUAAAACUCAAAGGAAUUGACGGGGACCCGCACAAGCGGUGGAUGAUGUGGAUUAAUUCGAUGCAACGCGAAAAACCUUACCUAGCCUUGACAUGCCAGGAAGGCCUGAGAGAUCAGGCCGUGCCCGCAAGGGAAUCUGGACACAGGUGCUGCAUGGCUGUCGUCAGCUCGUGUCGUGAGAUGUUGGGUUAAGUCCCGCAACGAGCGCAACCC